rnacentral:rRNA from 1 species
GACGAACGCUGGCGGCGUGCUUAACACAUGCAAGUCGAACGGAAAGGCCCUGCUUUUGUGGGGUGCUCGAGUGGCGAACGGGUGAGUAACACGUGAGUAACCUGCCCUUGACUUUGGGAUAACUUCAGGAAACUGGGGCUAAUACCGGAUAGGAGCUCCUGCUGCAUGGUGGGGGUUGGAAAGUUUGGGCGGUUGGGGAUGGACUGGCGGCAUAUCAGCUUGUUGGUGGGGUAGUGGCUUACCAAGGCUUUGACGGGUAGCCGGCCUGAGAGGGUGACCGGGCACAUUGGGACUGAGAUACGGCCCAGACUCCUACGGGAGGCAGCAGUGGGGAAUAUUGCACAAUGGGCGGAAGCCUGAUGCAGCAACGCCGCGUGCGGGAUGACGGCCUUCGGGUUGUAAACCGCUUUCGCCUGUGACGAAGCGUGAGUGACGGUAAUGGGUAAAGAAGCACCGGCUAACUACGUG